CCGAGAAAGACAAACACCAUAUGAUUUCACUCAUAUGUAGAAUAAAAACAAACACAUGGACAAAGAAAACAGUUCAGGGGUUACCAAGGGAAGAGGGGUGGGAAGUGGGCACAGGGGGUGAAGGGGAGCACUUCUGUGGUGACAGACAAGAAAUAACGUACAACUGAAAUUUUACAAUGAUGUAAACUAUUGUAAACUCAAUAAGAAAUAAAGUAAGAGAAAUGCGAUUCUUUCAAAAACAUUUCAUAAUUCAGUUUUACGAAUUUAGACAGAUUCCUUCCCCACCCUGAAUUCUGAAUGAAUACAUUUUGUUGAGUUGUAGGUGCCUGAAUCAUGUGUUCUUAGGGAAUGUCUUAUUCUAGAGUCCACUGGAUGGAAAGGUUGGCUUUCCUUACGUUUUGUCUUCAAAUUUUCAUUUAGUUUGCAAUUGGAUACAUUCUGACAGCCCCAUAUGAAGAAUAGGUCUAAGAGUUUCUUAACCUGAACAUGUACAGAACGUUCCACUUUCAAGUGGAGUUUUUAGAAAGGGAGCAGUAAGGACCGAUUAUGAAGUAGGCCCUUAGCUUCCUGCAAUUAAUUCCUUGUGACUUUCUCCCUGCUUCAGUUUUUGUUCAUAUCGCUCACAAGAAUUUUAGCAACCUUCCUUUCUGAAGGAAUUUUGCUCCCCCAGCUAGUAGAUGGGUAGCUCAAAAGUGCAUAUACACAAGGUGGAUUUCCAUGAAGCCAUAAACUUUCCAUAAAGGAAACUUCAGCUCCAGGGCCCCUCACCUGCACAGCCCCUACCAGGACCCACAGAGUCAGGCCUAACUUUACAUUCAUAAUUUGUAUUAUUUUUCUUAAAGACGGCCCUCAAAAGCUUAGGCUCCACAAAAUGUGGGUCUGCCCCUGCUUCCAUAAUUUUGUACCUAUGGGUUGAGGACCAAAUUAUCUCCAACACGGACAUUUCCACUCAACUCCAGCACCCAGGGUUCACCUGCCUUCUUUCCCUUCCAUUGCAUGACACAAGGGUGCCUCAGUUGCAGUCAAUACUGAACCCAGCAUUGUCCCCAACCCCCCAGAAUCCUGCCUCCCCAGCCUGAUCCUCUUCCGGCUCUCACGUGGAUGAAUGUCUCCACUGUGUACUGGGUUAGUGCUCUCAGCUAGAGAGAGAUCCCAGUUCCCUCAACUGUCUUCCCCAGUCUAGCUGCCCAGCCUCUAGCCCUGCUCCACCCCUGAGCCCCAAGGUUUCCCUUCUGCUCCCUCCCACAGACUCCUCCUAGCUUCCCUCAUCCAGCAUCUCCCCUUUCCAGUUUCCAUAUUUUGCCAGAGUGCUCCUUCAAAAAUCUGGUCACUUUUUAACCCCCAGUUCUGUUGUUUGCCUGCCCGCCAGCUCUGCCUUCAGGAUGAAAUCCACAUUCUUCCCCAAGAUGGACAAGAUCCUUCCUGACUGCUCUCUGCCCUUUCUUCUGGGCUUACCUUUCAUCCCCAACUCAGAACCUGUCCUCUUCAUGCGACUCCGAUGAGGAUACAGUUCUCUGCCUGUGACCCUCCUCUCCCACGCAUACUUCUUUGCCCAGAUAACUCCUUCAAGAUUCAGCUUUGGCAUUAUCUCUUUCAGGAAGCUUUUAUAGAUGAAAUCCUCCAGUAUACGUGACUUUCCUUCCUGCUGGCCAACACUGUGUGUUUUCUUGUCUGUCUCCUAAAGUAAGGAAGCUAUGGAUUCUUUGUCUCUUAUCUCUUCGAUUCUUUCCUACUUCAGUGUCUGGUCCAUAGCAGCUGGUCAACAAAGAAUUGCAUAAAUAAUAUCUGAAGCGGUGGAGAGGGGAGUGGUAUGGAAUAGCCAGUAUGUCUCAUUCAUCCGAACACACAGCUCUUCCUCCUCCCAUUGCACAGAUUGUGUUAGACCACAGAUUAAAUCACAUCUUAUGGUUCAUACAUCCAAACCUGUGUGGUUGAUACUGUUAUCUAUGAUGCAGGAUGUGGAAUUUCCAUCCUCGUAUCUAACCCCCACACACUAUGAAUUCAGCAUUGGCCUUGUCCACAAGUCAUCAAAUUGAACAGUGGAUACUUUUUAAUUAUGUGCUAGGAAUCGAUGUUAAGCUGGCACUGUGAGGUUACAUAAGGAAGAAAAUGGACGGAGACCAUUCCUGGGAACCAAAACUUUAUAACCUGGUUAAGGAGGUGAAACCACAGGCGUUUUAGCUAAGACAACAUAGAAGAAAAUGAGACUGAAAAUGCUGAGAAUCCAGCAGAAAGGAAUGCCAGCCAGGGCUAGAGUAACUCACAGCUUUGAAGAUGAGGAUUUGAGUUGGCCCCGAAGGCAUAAGGAUGUAAGGCUUCAAAGAUAACUAUAAUGUAGGAACAGAAGGAGAAGUAAGGAGGUAAGAGUCAGUGAGGUGGGAGGGAUCCAGGGAAGAAGACUGUCUCAUAGGAACUAAAAGAGAAUUUCAGGAAAGAAUGGGUGUGGUAGAUGAAAUGUGGCACUAAAUUCUUUGUCCUUCAUCCCUUCUAGAGAUGAGGCCAUUUCUACACCGCUGGAGUCUGGGCUGGCCUUGGGACUUGUGCUGAAGAGCGAAAGUGGUGGAAGUGGCGUAGCGUGACUUCCCCAUGGUUAGCCAGCACCUAUUGCCACAAGCUCUUCUUGUACUCUCCUCACCUUCUUCCUGUGAUGACGUGAGAUGACACAGCGCCUAUGUGAUGAGAGGAAAGGGGGAACGAUGUAGACAUUGGGACCCAGGCUUGGGCUACUGUGGACCUUAUGCUUCUAGCUUAGAAGGAGGAGCACCGGCCUCCAGGAUGGCAGCUGACCUCGGGUGACUGAAACUGUGGAAAGUGAAACUAUAGAUACAGGGGCACUACUGUAUUAUCUUGGAUUAGUUACGUAACAAACCAAGAAGAGCAAUGAAAUAAAGCUUCCACGCUCCCCAAUCUUUCUAUCUUAAUGAUUUCUAAUCAAAACCAACUGAAAUGACUUUUUAAAAAUGUUUUAGGAGAAAUUGGACGAAAUGGAAUAACCCUCAGUAAAAAAUGCCAGAGUUAAAAAUGGACCCCUUUUGUGAGGUGGUACCCAAUGGGAAUAAGAGAGAACUAUGGCGUGGUGUUCAAACUUUCUCGCUUGUGUAGCCUUUAAAUUAAGUUGAAAAACUAAGUACUUUGUUCCAUUUAUAAGUCAAAAUCUAACAUUUGUUUCACCGUAAAUUUAAAUGAUAGCAAAGAAUGCAAUUUCUAUUGUAUUAUAAACUCUAACAUUUAAAAUAGAACACAUCACUUUUAAAUAUUUCCAGUGAAAUUUUAAUGCCUUUCUUAUUUGAUACUCGUCAUCAUCCAUUUAAAAAAUAUAAGAAUAACGUAUUUAACAUAAAUGUCAUAGUUUCUUUUUCACCUUGAACUUAGUACUUUAUCCUACUGUAAUGCGUUUUUAGGCUGGAAAGUCUUUUAUUGAUCACUGUAUCAUACUGCUCUGAAAAAAAAUGACCUUAAAUUGAAAUUUUAGGUUUCUUUUUAUUUCUGCUAAGAGCUUCAAAGUAUUUUUUCUCCUUGAAGUUAUUAACACAAUAAUUAAUACAAAAUAGAUCAAAAUUAUAGAAAUAUGUUACAAAUUUUUAGAAAUAAGUAUUAAAUAUGAAAAGUGAAAUUUAUUGGAAAUAUUCCUCUUCAUGGAUGGUGAGUUUUUCCUAUAUUAUGUACCUGUGGGUGAAUGUCUCUUCCUUCUAGAAUAACAUGAUACAUUUCUACCCUUUAAAGAGAUGAAAUUUAUUGUUCUUAAGAAUAAUGAAAAUAGAUGGGGAGUCGAAGAAAUUUUAUAAUAGCAAUGUCACUCAAUUCUUUGAAUUAACAAGUUGUUUGUAAUAAUGUGUCAGCUGAUAAGUUGAUGAGAUCUUCCUUUAGUUUUGUUGAAAGGAAAUUAUUGGGACUAUCUAGGCUUAUGAAAGGAUUAUUAUCUUGUCAUUAGAGUCAUUUCCCACACCAUGCCCACACCAGGAUUCCUGACAUUCUUUCAGUUACCUGAGUGUUCUGGAGGUUUUUGUACUUUGGGACAUGUGUCAUAGUAAGUUUUUUUGAUGGGUAAUAGGUGUGCUUUCUUUUCAGUGGAAAAACAAUUACCACUGGGGAGAUAGGGAAGAAGAAAUUUUGGGAAAUGGAUUUUUCCUAAAAAUCAAGAAAUUGAUUUCCUUUGACAUAUCAUUGAAGGAGUACUCUGGAAAGCAAAGCCCGGGAGUAUGCAUGUCCCUAUCUGCAGACCACUGAACUGAAGUUCAAAAUGAAAAACAAAAAAAAGAAAGGAGCUACAAGAAAUUCAUUUUUUCUGGUUUAAGCUUGGCUUGAGCGUUAUGUUUCAGAUGUAUUAUUUUGUGUCGUGCUUUCUUCAUGACUGAUCCUUUGGGUGUCAGUCAGAAAAGUAUUAGAGGUUUUAAUGUUGCAAAUGUCUGUUUCUUUAAUUCAUAGUUUUCCAGGGAUCGGACUGUGACUGUAGUGCUGGGCUGAGAGGAGAGUUAAACACCGACACACAGUUGUGACGUCAUGGAAUCGAUGGUGUCGUUUCACUGUGUGUUUAGCUGUGCUCACGCUACAAGAUUGCACUUGGAGACUCUGGCUGGAUACCACUUCUCCAUCGUCUAACUAACUCCAAAGAGGAAAACGGGAUUUAAUUAACUAAAGGCACAUAUUUCUGUAACAUUUUUCCUCUUUUGCUUGGAUGCAAAUUUAGUAUGAAGCUGUUCCGAUACUAUUUUCAAUUUACUUUGCAUUAUUUUAAUGAUUAACACCAGAAGACCAAAUAAUUCACCACUUUAAUCCAUCAAAAUGACCUAUAACUUAAUUAAUUGGAAAAAAGGAGCAGUAUUGGUGUGAAUAUUGGUGAUAAUUGAAACUUAAGAUUUAAAAGAAAAAAAAAAGAUUUGAAAGAUCUUAAAGGUAGACACACUUAACACAAACCCGUUGUAUGACUAUGAUUUAUAAUGGCUAUAUUUGAUAAUAAAGCUCUCCUGUUU